rnacentral:rRNA from 1 species
CCUACGGGAGACAGCAGUGGGGAAUAUUGGGCAAUGGGCGCAAGCCUGACCCAGCAACGCCGCGUGAAGGAAGAAGGCUUUCGGGUUGUAAACUUCUUUUCUCAGGGACGAAGCAAGUGACGGUACCCGAGGAAUAAGCCUCGGCUAACUACGUGCCAGCAGCAGCGGUAAUACGGAGGUGGCAAGCGUUAUCCGGAUUUACUGGGUGUAAAGGGCGUGUAGGCGGGACUGCAAGUCAGAUGUGAAAGCCACGGGCUCAACCUGUGGCGUGCAUUUGAAACUGUAGUUCUUGAGUACGGGAGAGGCAGGCGGAAUGCCUGGUGUAGCGGUGAAAUGCGUAGAUAUUAGGAGGAACACCAGUGGCGAAGGCGGUCUGCUGGACAGCAACUGACGCUGAGGCGCGAAAGCGUGGGGAGCAAACAGGAUUAGAUACCCCAGUAGUC